UGCCAGCGGACAGGUGUCUGCUCUGCCGAGAGCCAGCCGUGCUGCACUGUGCUCCAUCAGCUCCUGCCAGGCCCUGCGGUUCACUGCAUAAAGAGCCUGGAGCUGGAGGGGCUAAAACACAGAUGCUGCUGGGGUGAAGCAGUGAGGCUGGUACCCUGCACUCAGGUCGGGCUGGAGUGUGAGAUCACCCUGUCCAAUGGUUCUUCAACCACACCAAUUAAUAAAGGAGAUGGGAGCAUCACCCCUCAGCUUGUUGUGAGAGAUGGAGGCGUCCUCCAAGAGACGGAGCUCGCUCUCCUCCUGGCUGCAGUCAGAUCACAGUGGAUUUGGCCAUACACAGGAGUAGGUCGAGGGAUCCCCGCGGCGCAUGCGAGCUUCCAUUUAUCAACACGACGUUUCCCUUGCAGCGAGAGAUAAAUACGCUGCCUGUUAAUGGGAACAAACUGAGUUUGGGAAGGCUGUUUCAGAGCUUGAUGUUGAAGGUGAAGGUGAAUCAUAGGAUCGUAGAAUCAUUGAGGUUGGAAAAGACCACAAAGGUAAGUCCUACCAUCAACCAUCACUC
rnacentral:lncRNA from 1 species